UACGGAGGGUGCAAGCGUUAAUCGGAAUUACUGGGCGUAAAGCGCGCGUAGGCGGUUAAUCAAGUCAGAUGUGAAAGCCCAGGGCUCAACCUUGGAACUGCAUUUGAAACUGGUUGACUAGAGUUUUGUAGAGGGUGGUAGAAUUUCAGGUGUAGCGGUGAAAUGCGUAGAGAUCUGAAGGAAUACCAGUGGCGAAGGCGGCCACCUGGACAAAAACUGACGCUGAGGCGCGAAGGCGUGGGGAGCAAACGGGAUUAGAUACCCUCGUA
rnacentral:rRNA from 1 species